UUGGGUUCAUGACUUAUCUUUCUGUUCCCAGCAGCUCUUCUUAUCUUUGCUUAGUAAUUGUUUAUUGAAUUGAGUUCAACUGGAUUGAUCUGCUGUGCUUUUAGGGGCACUUAUUAGCCCUUCAUGUGUUUCCCUCUUUUCUACCCUAAAGGAAAAAAUAUAAAACAAACAUUUAUUUUCCAUUCUUAAGAAUUUAAAACUUAGACAGUCAGUUGAUGUAAAUUGGUGCCUCCUUUUUGCAGGGCAUUUUGGUAUCAUAAAUUAGCAUGUAAAAUGUACUCAUGUUGUAACCCAGUACAGCAUUUUGUUAAGAUAUAGAAACAGAUCUUACAUGUGUAUGAUCCCAUUUUUAUCGAAUGUCAUCCAUAUAUCACUGUAUGUAUAUAUGCAUAGAUAUCUAGGAGAAAUGUCUUCAAAAUAUUUAAAAUGUUUAUUUCUCCAUGAUGGGUGGUUUUCCUCUCUGUAUUUUUUCAUAUUAUUCACAUUUUUCGGAAGUACACAUUGUCAUCAUUUUUACCCAAAAAUGAAACUAUUAAAAAGAAAAAGCUGGGAAUUCCCUGGUGGUCCGGUGGUUAGGACUCAGAGCUUUCCCUGCCAAGAGCCCGAGCUGGAUCCCUGGUUGGGGAACUAAGAUCCCACAAGCCUUGCAGCAUGGUCUAAAUAAAUAAAUAAAUAAAUAAAUGAUAAAGAAAAAGCAUUCAAGUGAUUUCACUAGUUUUACUCUUUGACUCAUCAAGUAUUUGUUGAUUGUACCACAUUAUUCUAGAAUUAUCUUUCCUAUUUUACAGUCUGCUGAAUUUUCUAUGCACCCAUUUGAGAAAGCACUGAAGCUAAAUACUUAUCAAGUACUUUUGAAAAAUUUAAGCUCCAGAAAAAAAAAAUCAGAACAGUAGUUGUCUCUUGGGAAGUUGGGGAUGGAGAUAAACUGGGAAAAGGUAUGAAGGAAACUUUUAGGGUGAUGGAUAAUGUUUUAAAGGUUUGGGUCACAGAGGUAUAUGUAUUUGUCAAAACUCAACAAAUUUAGCUAAGAUUUGUGCAUUCCUCUGUAUGUCAGUUUUACAUCAGAAGGAAAAAAAACAAAUUGGAUUUUAGUAAGUGAUACUGAUAUCUGGAAUUUACUUUGAAAUGCACCGAAAACAAGAUAGAUUAAUGGAUGGUUUGAGGAAUGGAUAGAUGAAUACAUAAUAAAGCAAAUAUAAUAAAAUGUUAACUGUAGAAUCUAGGUGAUGUGUAUAUAUAUAUAUAUGUGUUCAUUAUAAAAUUCUUAUAAUUUUGCACUUUAACAAUUUUCAUAAUAAAAUGUUGAGGAAAAUGUAAUCACCGAUCAUCUAUUGAUAUACUGAUAUGUUGAAUAUGCUUAUAUUUUAUUCUUAUAAACUAAAUUCAACAGAUUAAGUUCUAGAAGUUGCGUCCCCCACUCUCCCAAUUCAAACUUCUUGGAUAGUUAAGCUAUUUAAAUAUAUAUAUAUGAUAUAGUUAGUGACAGGGCUGUCUUCAUGACCAUGUUAACUAUGCCGUCACACAGGGUCACGAAGUUGGUUCAAUGCUCUGCUGUUGCUGUCUUGAAAUUUUUAUUACUUUUUAAACAAGGGGCCCUGUACUUUCAUUUUACAAUGGGCCCCGCAAAUUAUGUAGCUGGCCCUGACUAAUAAGCAGUAAUAAUAAUUACUAACAUAUAUUAUCUUCUCUUUUUGCCAGGCACUAUGUUAAACACUUUAUAUACACUAUUUCAUGAAUCCUCAAAGACAGACUUAAGAGAUAGUCUUAAUAUCCCCAUUUUACAGAUGAACAUAAUGAGGCUCAAAGAGGUUAAGAUAUUUGCUCAAAUUCACACAUUUAGUGUACCCUCAGUAUGCAUAGUAGCACAGUACACAUGGUAGAUACUCAAUAAAUAUUUACUAAAUUAAUAAUAAUAAUAGUAAUUAUUAUAGCAGCUCCCAUUUAUUGAGCACCUUCCAGCAGCCUACAAUGCUCUGACUGAAACCCAACAUGUUCUCCCUAACCCAGACUCCCCACCUUUGGCAUCACUACCUUAAGACCACGUUCCCUGCCAGCCUAAAUUAGGUCAAGUCUUCUCUUAUGUUACCCUGUGCUUCUUUGUCAUAGCAGUCAUCACAAUUGUAAUUAGGUAGUUCGUUGUUUAAUGCCUGUCUUCCCUUCUGGACUGGAACCUCAGUGAAGACAGUGACUCAUUUUUAUCUGCUCACCACUCUAUUCCUACCAUCCAGUGCUGUAGCUGGAGUGUAGCCUGCUUGCCAGGGCUGGAUUAUAUAUUUUUUCAUUUACUCCUCAACUCUGUGAGGUAGAGAUUGUUACCAUCAUUUUACAUCAUUUACAAGGCUCAGAGAAGCUAAGUCUGAGUCACCUCACCAUAAGGGAAGCAUCCACCAUAACGUGGACCUACAUUUGCCAGGCUCCAAAAUCUCUUGUCCUUUCACGGCAGCCCACUGUUUCUAUAUGACAAUCUGCCUGACACUAUUUUCUAUCUCCAGGCACUACUUAUUCCCUUCAGCUCCUAUUUUUGCUGUCUGACCUCUGGGCUCUGUGAUGAAGAGGAGACAUGCUUUCCAGGAAGUAAUUACGGCAAGUGAUAUAACCAGGCUGGCUGAAGCCAGGAUUUUAUUUUUUAACCUUGAUGAGUAAAGCAGCUGGAAAUACUACCUUCUAAAAGCAAAGGAUCCAAUUUCCCCAUGGUACUAACUCUUCCUUAGUGCUAGGAAACACCCUGAAGUCAUCUCUUGGGCUAUGUAAAUAUAAAGCAAUCUACCCAGGUCUAGUCUUGGGGAAGGCCUGAAAUAAUUAAGGUAAAGCAAACGUAGAUGCUUCAGGCUGUUAACAAGAUGUCUCAGUAGUUUUAGGCUUCGAUAGAUUAAGAUUUCUAUGCGAAAAUGUUUUUCCCUAAGUGUGGAUUUGGACUAUCCUAUGCUUAUGCAUUGCUGCAUAUCUUUGCAGAGUUGAGAGGACUAUUCUUUGGAUUAUUCUUUGUUUGUGAGGAUCAUAGAAGUGGGAUGGAAAGGAAUGCUGGGAGAGUGCACAGGCUUAUUCUCUUCAGCUAGUGCUGGAGGACAGGCUGUGAACAAGAAAUGGAGAGUGCUUGGCCCAGCAUGCCCUGGCGUGGAUGGUUGAGUUCUACCUGUGGUAUUAAAAUCCCAGACUGAAAAUCCCAGACCUUAGGAAUUAAGACUGAUGACAGAUUGUGCUGUACUUUGUCUUUUGUAGGACAUAGGGCAUCUGGUGGUGGUAGAGUUUCCAGAGGACCUAGGUUUGUACCAUUCUGAGGAUGUUCAGACUGUGGACAUCUCAGAGUAGCCACUACUAAUAGCAGUGUAAGUUACCCUGUCUAUUACACUUCUUUUCUGGUAUUCCCAAGCCUUCUGAAAAGACUUGUUAACUGUCACACCCUGGCCUCAGUUGUGCUCUUGAGCUUGUUCUACUUUCUUGGAAGAAUAUCAAGCACUUCCUAAAGUUAAUUAUAGAAGCAAUGGUGACAGUCAUCUGUGCAAAACAGUGGUGCCCACUGUCCUCAUAAAGGUGAGAGAUAGUAAGGCUGCAGCAGGUCCAGAAAGUUGGGGCAGAAGUACAGGAGGGACUGUUUCUGAGAACACAAAAGCUAUGUCAGAAAUACAGAAGAAAAAAAAAGAAAUAUGGGAGAGAAGGAGGUUGCCUUUUGCAGGAAAUAGGCCCUGAGGGCUUAUGCCAUCAUAAUUUGAACAAUAAAAGUAAGAAUGAUCAUAUUUUGUAGUCACUGGUUAGUGAGAUAGGAUGUACUGUAUCUGUUAUUCUAUAUGCCAUAGCAAGUCUCCAAGAUGGUUCCCAGAGAUCCUUGCUUUUUUGUAUUUAUGUCUUUAUAUAGUCGUCUUCUUCAAUGAAUCAGGGCUAGUCUAUGUGAACAACAGUGUAUGGCAGAGGUUACAGUGGUUGACUUCCAAGGCAUGCGAGAUCUGAGUUCCCCAACCAGGGAUGGAACCCUUGCCCACCUGCAUUGGAAGUGUGGAGUCUUAACCACUGGACAGCCAGAGAAGUCCUCAUGAAGACUCUUAAGCUGCUCUGUGGAAAGGCCUACAAGAGGAGGAACUGAGGCCUCUACCACCAUCCAGGACCAACUUGCCAGCCAAGUGAGUUACGUCAUUGAACGUGGAUCUUCCAGCCCCAUUCAAGCCUUCAGGUGACUGCAGCCCCAGCUGACAUUUGACUGAGCCUCAUGAGAACACCCUAUCCAGAACUUCCUAGCCAAGUGGCUCCCAUAUUCCCAGCCCAUAGAAACUAUAAGAGAUAAUAAGUGUUUAUUAUUGUUUUAAACUAGUAAGUCUUGGGAUGACUUGUUAUGCAUCAAUAAAUAAAACACUAUACUAUAGAUUCUAUGGAAUAAACAUCUAUGUGAAACUCUGCCUAAAUAGAUCAGCCAAAUCUUCAGAAAAAAAGAGGACAUGGGUUGAGUCUUCAAAGAUGAGUAGGAGCUUGCAGGUGGAGGUAAAGUGGAGAAAGGGGAAUCAUUUCAGGCUAAAGGAACAGCUUGACUAUAGGGCCAGAAGUAAGAGGGCAUGGCUUGUUUGAAAAAACAGCAAUUAAUUCAGCAUGACUGGGGUGCAGUAUGUUUAAAGAAUGAGGUGGAGAAAGAUUACAGGAGUAGACAGGAACAAGCUCAAAAAGGACCUUAAAUGCCAUGUUCAUGUAUUUGUUUUUUAUCCUGAAGGCAAUGAGGAGCCACUAAAGAAUUUUUAAGCAGGCAACUGACAUGAUCAAUUGUGCAUUUUAGAAUGAUGGCCAAAUGGAAGAUGGAUUGGAGGCAGAAAGACCAUUUAGAAAUAAUUGCAAGUCCAGGUGAGAAAUGAUUAGUGCCUGAAUUAAGGUCUUAGCAGUGUGAACGGGGGGCGGGGAAUGGAGGGCUAUUAGGAGGUAUAAUUUUCAGAAUAUGAGGGAUGAGGAAAAGGGAAUAUGUGGGAUCCAGGAGGAGGAGCAAGUUUUUUAAAAAUAUUUAUUUAUUUAUUCGGUUGCGAUGGGUCUUACCUGCGGCACGCGGGCUCUUUGUUGUGGCGCACGGGCUUCUCUCUAGUUGUGGCAUGCAGGCUCAGUAGCUGUGACACAUGGGCUUAGGGAUCGAACCCGUGACCCUUGUGUUGGAAGGUGAAUUCGCAACCACUGGACCACCAGGGAGGUCUUGAGGAGCAAGCUUUGAAGGGCUGAGUUUGAGUGGUGUGUAGGACACCAAGGUAAACAUGUACAGGGGACAACUAGAAACACUGGUCUGGCUUGGAACCCAAGAGGGAAUGAAGUCAGGCUGAAGAUGCACGGAAGUUUUGAAGGCUUUUUCAUACAAGCAUCCCUUCUUAAAAGGUAAGUAACUCCAUGGGUGAAAUGAAAUCAAACUACAGUUUAGAGUUUUAGAUUUAUCUUUCAUUGAUAGCAAAGCCAUUUAGAAAUAAGAUUUACAGUAAAAACCUGGGAUAGGAUCAAUGGCAUGAAGUCAGAACCAGGUACAGGUGGAAGGCCAUUUUGUAGUAUCUUCCAGUUUUGCUGGGGAUUCAACCAUCAGCAGAAUCUGGUGACUAAUUAAGUAUAGAGAUUGAAGGAGAGGGAAGAGUCUAAAAAAUUAGUUCCCUCCCCCAAAGUUUCCUUUCUUAGAUCUACAUUUUCCAUCAUGUAUAACAUCUUAUGAUCUAUGCCCCAUUUCAAUAUCACUGAUUUUAAAAUUUUCUGAAUUAAAUUUUGCUUCCAUUUUCUUCACCUAUUUUCCAGUAAAUUUAUAUGAGUUUCAUGAUCUUCUACUUCCUCCUUUUUUCCCCUUUCUCCUCUUCCUGCUUUUUGUGAACAAAAGAAAAUAAAACCUCUUCCUUUACUGACUAUAUAACAGGUGUAGCAGAAUUCUUGAUUUUUUUAAUUGAAUAUUUUACAGGCAUUCAUUCUUGAUUCAUUGUCAAUAGCUCUCUAAUUCUUUGAAAUUGUUUUUCAACUAAUACAGUGAUUUUCAUCUCUAACACCUAAGUAUGGCCUAGUAGUCAACGCUCCAAGACUUGGAAUUCAACCAAUUCACCUGAUUUGACCUGAUCUACUUAUCCAAGAGGUAAUAGGGCUUCACUGGUGGCACAGUGGUUAAGAAUCCGCCUGCCAAUUCAGGGAACGUGGGUUCAAGCCCUGGUCCGGAAAGUUCCCACAUGCACUGGAGCAACUAAGCCCGCGAGCCACAACUACUGAGCCUGCUCUCUGGAGCCCGCGAGCCACAACUAUGGAAGCCCGCGUGCCUAGAGCCCGUGCUCCUCAACAACAGAAGCCACCGCAAUGAGAAGCCGGCGCACAGCAAGGAACAGUAGCCCCCGCUCGCCAUAACUAGAGAAAGCCAGCGCGCAGCAACGAAGACCCAACGCAGCCAAAAAUAAAUAAAUAAAAUAAAUUAAUUAAUUAAAAAAAAUCUUAGGUAACAGAUUUUUUUCUAAGAUGAAAAAGUUCUUUUGAUUACAUAAUUGAGACAUGCUCAUUUAAAAAAAAUUCAAUUGAUCCAGAAAAGCAGGAAAUAAACUAAAUUACAUAAACCUCACCAGCCACAGAGAAGCACUGUUAAAAUUUUGUGAACUUGCUUCCAACCGUCUCUUCAUACAUAUAUUUGUGUAUGCAUAUGUAUGCCCGUAGCGUGACCUACACAGAAUCAUACCGUUCUGUAAACUGAUCCUUUCAUUUUGCAACACGUUGUGGACACCUUUCCAUUUCCAUAAAUAUAGAUCUGGUUCCAGCUUUCUAAACAGAUGCGUAGUAUUACGCUCUAUAUAAACACCGUAACUUAACCAACCAUUCCCACACUGUUGAACAUUUGGGUUGUUCCCAAGGCUUUUUUUUUUUUUUUUUUUUUUUUUUGCGGUACGCCGGCCUCUCACUGUUGUGGCCUCUCCCGCCGCGGAGCACAGGCUCCGGACGCGCAGGCUCAGCGGCCACGGCUCACGGGCCCAGCCGCUCCGCGGCAUGUGGGAUCUUCCCAGGCCGGGGCACGAACCCGAGUCCCCUGCAUCGGCAGGCGGACUCUCAACCCCUGCGCCACCAGGGAAACCCCCAAGGCUUUCUUUUAAUUAGCAAUACCAUGGUAAACAUCCCUGUCAUAUUUCUUUCUUUCUUUUAUUAUUAUUAUUUUUAAAGAUUAUUUGAUGUGGACCAUUUUUAAAGUCUUUACUAAAUUUGUUACAAGAUUGCUUCUGUUUCAUGUUUUGGUCUUUUGGCCCUGAGACAUAUGGGAUCCCAGCUCCCCGACCAGGGAUCAAACCCACACCCCCUGCAUUGGAAGGCAAAGUCCCAACCAAUGGACUGCCAGGGAAGUCCCCUUAUUAUUUAUUUAUGUAUUUAUUUAUUUGUUCAUUCAAAUAAAACAUGGCUCGGGACUUCCCUGGCAGUCCAGUGGUUAAGACUCCGUGCUUCCACUGCAGGGGGAACAGGUUUGAUCCCAGUUCAGGGAACUAAGAUCCCACAUGCCGCACAGUGCGGCCAAAAAAAAAAACAAAAACAGAAACAGACAAAAAAAAAUAUAUGACUCAGAGCCCCCACUCAUCAAGGUGGACAAGAGUUAUUUCUGGGAUUCUUUUCCCCGCUACAGUGAAUUAUAUAUGACCUCCAGGGUUUGAGUGGCCCUAGGAAACUGGAUUGGGGUUAUGCUAUUGAUCCUCCUUUGUCUGGCCAGAGACAGUCCUCUCCAGAGGUCUUCUCCAUUCUAGGCAGGGAAGCAGCCCUGCAACACUUUUAAAGCUGCUUUCAGGAUCUCAGUGCUUAGUGACCUGUCUCCCAGGCAUCCUGCAGCCAUCCCAACCUGGGUCUGUUAUUUUCGAGGGAGAUACUUGGAAAUCCUAAAAUUCCACAACCCCUCCCCAGCCUUAGUGUUGUCUUUAUACUAGUAAAGGCUAUUUUCUUGAGGAGAUGGGGAAAAGGAACUACCACUCAACCUCUCCAUAUAAACCUAUAACAGACAACUAGACAGUUGACUGUGGAGGAGUUACUUAACCUCCUGAAACCUCAAAUUCUUUAUCUAUCUAUAAGAUAACAACAAAUAGCAAGUCCAUCCUGCCAGUUGUAGAGACCAGAAAAUUUAUUUGUCUUUAGCUUCCCUCAUUCUCUCACUGCCACUCAUAUUCUGCCUCCUGAACCUUCAGAACAGAACGAGAAUCUGACCACUUCUCUCCACCUACCCUGCUUCUACCUUGGGCCAAGUCUCCACCGUGUCUCACUUGGAUCUUUGCAGAAGCCUCCUAAUAGGUCUCCUUGAUUCUACCCUUAUUCCCGUCAUCAAUUUUCUUUUGAAAAGGAUGAUGGCUUUCAUCUAACUUUGAGGAAAAGGCAAAAUUCUUAGACUAACCUAGAAAGCUCUCUUAUAUGACUUAGCACCACCUCCCCCACUUCUCUGACCUCAGUUCCAACCAUCCUCUUCUUCAGUCACACUCCCCUUGCCAAAACAUGUCAGGCGUGCCUUUUGCAUUAUCCUCAGGAUAAUAGUUUCUCCAUGCAGGUAUCUGCUCAAUUACCUUUAUCAUUAUCCCCAGAGCCUGCUUCAUUUUUCUCCACAGCACUUAUCACUGACAUAGAGUAUGUUUAUUUCACUAUCUCUUAAAACUGGAAUAUAAGCCUGUUGAAGGAAGGACUUGUCUAUUUCUGUUUAGGUUUUCAGUGCCUAGAGAGUACCUAGCACACAUUAGGGGCUCAAUAAAUAUUUGCUGAAUAAAUGAAUGGACAAUCAUAUCUUUCAGAAUUGGAGUGAGGGUUCAUUCUGAUAAUGUUAAUGCCUAUCGAAUGGGAAGGACUAUUUGAAAACAGAUUGUUGCUGUAUCAUCAUUAUUAUUAUAUUUAUGCUAGUCUUUGAAGACUAUAUUAGAAAAAGGGUAUUCCAGCAAAGAACUGACUGAAGCAGAGGCUUACAAGUAGGAAAUACCCUGUAGGUAAGUGUGACCUGCACUGAAAACUAAAUAUUGGUAAGAGCUAGUGUUGGAAAUGUAGGGAUGAAUAUGGAGGGAACUGAAUUCAAGGCUCAGAAGUACGGGUUUGUCCCUAACAGUGGGGAACCAUCCAGGAUUUUCAGCCAAGGAAGAUAUGAUAAAAUCUUGGUUUUUGAAACUUCUGUGGUGAUAAUCAGUUAUCCUGUGUUGCAAAGUUGCAUUUUGUGGCUUGUGGGAGGUGUGUUUGUUAAUCAGAGAAAACGGUGUGUUUCUUUAAGAAACUUUGCUGGACCUUUUUGUCUGAUAGGACCUGGCCUGUGACCUUAUUUAUGAUCCCCUCUUUUCAUGCAGACACCAAACAUCCUCCAUGUGGAGAAAAAGAAGGCUGAGAGCCAGAGCCUUGGUGAUUCACUCUUAGUUAUUUCCCCUUUCAUGAUUCUAAUUUGCUCACCCUUUGGAUUGUCUUCUUCAGACUGUGGCUGUAUUUCAUGUCUUGGUUUUCCACUUCACAGGCAAUUUCUGACCAUAUCUUUCUCCAUGACAUAACCCCACUGUCAUUUAAAAUCUUGCCAUCCAAAGUGCGGUCCUGGGACCAGUAGCACUGGCAUCACCUGAGAGCUUGUUAGAAAUACAGAAUUUUCAGGACCCACCUAAAUUAGAAUCUGCAUUUCAACAAGAUCCCUGGUGAUCUGUGUGUACAUUAAUGUUUAAGAAGCACUACACUUAAGUAUCCCUUAACCAAUGGAUGCACCAGUGUCCCCUAGGAGCCCCUCAUCACCUCAAAUAAACAUACAGAGAGGGCUUCCCUGGUGGUGCAGUGGUUAAGAAUCCGCCUGCCAAUGCAGGGGACACGGGUUCGAGCCCUGGUCCGGGAAGAUCCCACAUGCCGCGGAGCAACUAAGCAUGUGCGCCACAACUACUGAGGCUGUGCUCUAGAGACCGUGAGCCACAACUACUGAAGCCCGCGCACCUAGAGCCCGUGCUCCGCAACAAAGAAUAGCCCCCGCUUGCUGCAACUAAAGAAAGCCCACGCGUAGCAACGAAGACCCAGUGCAACCAAAAAUAAAUAAAUAAGUAAAUAAACUUAUUUUUAAAAAAACAAAACAAAAAAGCAUACAGAGUGUUUGCUUUCUAAACAAACUUCCUGACAAUUCCCCCUAGCCACCCUUUCCAACUGGAGAGCUUUCCACACUCUACCUUCUGUACAGAAAAUCUGAAGCAGCAAUGCUUUGAAUGUUUGGUGUUUCUCAAGGUACAAUCCUCAGAUCACCUGCAUCUGAAUAACCUAGAGAGUUUGUUAAAAAUGCAGAUACCCCAUCCUACCUACAUUUACCGAAUCCGACUCUUUAGGGGAAGGGCACUGCAAACCACUUUUUCAACUAACAUAUGAUACAUACCAACAAUCAGAGAACCAUCAGAAAACUCCUGGCUGCAAAAACAAAUGCAGCUUUAAUAGCUCCCCCUUCUUGGUAUUGAAACCCUUUUCCAGCUUUGACUCCAUUCCCUCAUCCAGCCCUGCACUGGGUUAUUUGAAAUACAGUAAUUUUAGUUAUGAUCCUAUUGUUAGAGAGUGCUACUUUUGCAAGAGAUCUCAUCCAAGUGCUGCUCUGAUACCUCUUUUACAAAACUAUGUAAAUAGCAUUCCAGAAUUUCUUUUUUACAGGUUAUCAGUCUUAACAUACAAAUGAAAUAUAAAUGUUUCUAUCAAGUAAUUUAAUGUUUAUUUUUCUGCUUCUUAGUAUUUUCUUAUGCAAUAAAAGAAGAUUUUUCCUGUGUCUGAUGCUUCUUUAAAGUCACUGUGCUCCUCUUCAUCAAUGUCUCAUAUCAGGACGGUUAGUUUCAUAGUCAGUCCUAUUGGAAAAGUACCUAACAUGACUUUAUAAUAACAUUCUCUAGGGUCUGGGAGUUUGGGGGCAGGGAUAAAUGCUGAAACAGGCACUUGGUGCCUGUAGUUUGCUGGUCUACCUCUAUUGCUACAGUCUACAUCAAGGCCUUCUACCACUGACAUGAAAGUUGAGCAGAAUGGGUGAAAGAAUGGCAGCACUAGUUGCAUAACUAUUAUGAAAUGAAAUUACACAGUUUGAAUCCAC